AAAGAAAAAUGUUCUUUCUAGGGUUUAAUAAAUGCUUCACAAUGAGUUUUUUUUUUUAAGUAGGCCUUAAUACCUAAUCACUUGCAUUCGGUGGCUAGAUUUGAGUGGAUAAGAACACCUACCAAAGUACAACUUCCAAUUUUUAUUUCAGAAGGAAACCAUCCUUGAGAGAUGAGAAAAUAACUUACUUUAAGCUUUAUUCAUUUUUGUAUUUGGCUGCCAUAAAAUAUCUUUUACUAAGUAGCUUUAGGGUUUUUUUUUUAAUCUAAUCCUGAUUAAAUUAAAAGAAAAACCUGGUAAGUUAAUUGUAAGCUUUCCCAUAAAAGAGAGAAGCACAAAAUGCCAUGGAAUAUAUCCAAGAAACAUAACAUAAACAUGAGACUUACAAUGCACAAUUUAAAAUUUCAUAUGUUGUCAAAUGAUAAAUGUCUGUUCCAGCUAUGAAUACUUUAACUUCAAAAAUCUUUCAUAGCCUUAAAAAAGAACUCUCACAGAAACAGAAGCUGGAAUGUUAUUUGUGAACUAGGCCUUGCACCUUGUCAAUAUUUUUAGUUCUUAAAUUUCUGGAAUGUUCUAAAGACAUAAAACAUCUACUUCAUUUUGAAAUUUUGAUUUUAACAUUUCACUAACAACACUGGGAAAGGAUCAUCUUAACUAAAGGUGUCAAGACUAACGUUUGAGCUUAGCCGUUGAACUUUCUCUUAGGGGAAACAGUUUAAUCCCCAAGUACUAUGAGAUAGGCGUUUUAAGGCAACUUUUUAAAAAGGAAAAUAAAUCUGCUUUUUGCCGUCUAGGAAAGAUACAUUUUUCCUUGUGGAAAUCUGCAGUCUGAAAAGACAGAUAUGAAAAGCAUGAACUGUUGAAAAUAACCUAAAUGUUCUUUGAAAAUUUAAAGGCCAGCUUAUCCUGCAAUGGUGAUAGAAUAGUCGGCUUACAACACGCAAAGCCGAGCCGCGGGUGGGCAGGCGCCGCCCGUGGCUCGCGGAGUGGAUGCACUCGAGGGCGCGGCCGCUGCGCUUGGGGAACUUUCAGGGCGCCAAGUACGGGUAGCGCUUCUGAUGGAUUCCCGGGUCUGGGAGGAUCCGAUUAUCCCGGGGCCGGGUGACACGCACAAAGCUGAGGUUAGAGUUGGCCAGGAAGGGAGGACCUGGUGAGCCGGUGGAACAAAAGCGGGAAGGCCUUUCCUUCUAGGAGCAAAACCAGCGACGCGUCCCGGACGCCCGGGGACCCCUGUGGGUCUCGGUUUCCUUCGCUGUGACCCUGACAUGUUUCCCUCCACCGGCCCGAGGAAACCGUCGCUUCCAGCCUCCAGGUGUUAUCUUAGGAGCCAAGCAUCUCCUUUGGUCCUGCGCUCCUUCGCCUAGCGCCUGGUGCCCCCCACCCGGCUGCAUCCGAGGCUUGCGCGGCCCGGUCCCAUCAGCCGAGCGUCGCCCGCCCAGGAGGAGGCUCGGGUUCUCCGCAGAAGCGAAUACUUUCUCUUUUUGUUUUAAGUUAGAACCUUGCUUUUGCAGUGAUUCGUUGCUGUGGCGUGAUUUUAAACAGGUGAGAAAUCGGAGUCUCAUUUUCCCAGGGGGGCUUCCAAUGAGGAUUUUAAGAGAAGCGUGCAAAGAAGACAGCAAUGUCCAUCUUUUUUUUUUCUUGUUUUCUUUUGAACAGAGGGAACCCCCACGCGCUGAGAUAGUUAUGUUUUUAAGGCUAAACUUUUUUAAAAUUAGUUUUUCUUUUACACUUAUGGCUGACUUUUGAUCCUUUUAAAGAAAGGAUGAAGUCAAAACAGAUUAAUGCUUUUGAAUACACAACGUCCCCACGUCCCCAAAUUGUGGUGCUGGGAUAGUUCCUCUAAGAUGCAUUCUGAUUUUGAAGUUCAAGGUCUCUAAGCGCUGUUAAGCGGAACCAUGAAAAAUACGUUGCUACAUUAAAGAUAAAACAGACGGUGAUACUGACUGCAGAAUCGUAGUAGAAACUUUUUUUUUUUUUUUGAGGCUGUGCAGGAUUUGCCUUGGUUUUAUUAGGGAACCUGCUAAUAGAAGCAAUUUCAAGUGACGGGCUUCCCUCAGUAAAAAGCUGGAAGCAAUGACAUCUUUUCUAUCUGAGUGACUCUCCUUAGUCGUGGUAAAUAAAUAAAUAAAUAAAUAAAUAGAUAGAUAGAUAGAUAAAUAAAUAAAUAAAUAAAAAUUAGUUUACAUGCAGUGUUUGAAAAGAAAAUGAUUUUGCUUCCCAAGUUUUUAUGUGUUUUCUUUUUUACCAACUAUAUUUCACUUUAUUUACAAUUGUCAGUUUAUUCUCACACCUUCUGGUUAGUUUUAUCUUCUCACCAUGGUCUGUUAGAACCCCAUCCUCGAGCAAAAAAACAAAAACAAAAACCACCCCCCCAAAACAAACAAACAAACAAACAAAACAGGUGUUCAUCCCUGUGAGAUGCUAAUGCCCCUGGAACUGUUUGAAAAGAGCAAAAUUUUGUAAGGAGAUUCUUUUCAAAAAGUGUUAGAGAAGUAUUCUUCAAAAACAUCUUAGAAUGUUUCCUUAAAAAAUUUCCUUUCUUGGUUUUCAUUAAUUGCCUUUGAUUAAAAUUAGGUUACAAACAUAUCUUAAUUUCAGACUGUUUCUUUAUAAAAGAAAGGAGAAAGUAAAUAGGUGUUGGCAAGGACUAAACCAAUGCAACUAGGCCCUGUUGAGAGCCUAAAUCUGUAAACUGGUACCCUUAAAAAACAUCAAUCAACUUGAGGUUCGUACAGGUAGUUCUUUGACUCAAACAGUUGAUUUUUAAAAGUCUUAUAAAAUAGGUUAAAAUGUGUUUUUAGUCCAGGUUCCUACUUCUUUGUUAUGCAUUUCUCCUCGUAGAUAAAUAAAUGAAUCUAACUUGAUGAGUAGGUAGAUUUUUCUCCAGAAGAACUUUCUAAAAAUGGGCAAAGUUAGGGAAGUGAUUAAUACCCUUCAGUUUAAUUGGAAUUAUUCAGUGCUUAUACCAAGUUAAUCCUAUUAAGAUGCUAUUUCCUGCUCAGGGGGAUAAAUUAAGCACAACUUAGAUUAUUUUAGGUGGACAACUGGUAUAUAGUCUAAGCAAUGGGGGCUGGAAAAAAGUAUCUCUUCUCCAAAAAAUAUAGAUUAUGUACCAGUAAUGUUCAAAGUACUUUGAGGAAGUGUAUUGAUGGGAUGAAUAUAAAUCAUAGUGACUGUUGUUAAGGGGUUUACGGAUUAUAAAGAGCAAUUGAGCUUCCUUUAUUUUCUCUUAUUUAGAAAACAAACAUUCAUAAGAAAAAAAUAAAAUUAGAUCCCUUCUUUUGCCCACAUACAAAUUCAGUUUCAGAUCAAUUAAAAAGUUAAAUAAGAAAAAUAGAAUUAAAAAAAUAUUGGAAGGCUGGGCGCAGUGGCUCACGCCUGUAAUCCCAGCACUUUGGGAGGCCAAGGCGGGCAGAUCACGAGGUCAGGAGAUUGAGACCAUCUUGGCCAACAUGGGGAAACCCUAUCUCUAGUAAAAAUACAAAAAUUAGCUGGUUGUGGUGGCACAUGCCUGUAAUCCCAGCUACUCGGGAGGCUGAGGCAGGAGAAUCGCUUGAACCUGGGAGGCAGCGAUUGCAGUGAGCCGAGAUCGCGCCACUGCACUCUAGCCUGGCAGCAGAGUUAUCUCUGUAACUCUCCAUCUCAAAAAAAAACAAAAAAAAUUGAAAGGAAAUAUAGAAUUUGUAGUAUGAAAGGAUUUCUUAAACAAAACAUUAAAAUACACAAUCCAUUAAGGAAAUGAUCAAUUGGAUGACAGUCAUGCUCCAAAUAAUGAUAUGUUAGUCAAUACAUGAUAAUAGUCCCAUAAGGUUAUAAUAUUGUAUAUUUACUGUACCUUUUCUAUGUGUAGAUGUGUCUAAUUAUACAAAUACCAUUGUGUUACAAUUGCCUACAGUAUUCAAUACAGUCACAUGCUGUACAGGUUUGCAGCCUAGGAGCAAUAGGCUUGUACCAUAUACAAACCAUCUAGGUUUGUGUAAUUACACUCUAUGAUGUUAGCAUGACAAAACUGCCUAUGGACCUAUUUCUCAGAAUAUGUCCCUGUAGUUGAGUGCCAUGUGACUGUAUAUAAAAAUUUUUAAAAAUACUUUUUACAUGACAAAAGAUAUCAUAAAAUGUUACAAGAUAAACUGAGAAGAUAUUUUCAAGGCAUGUACUUGGUGAAGGAUUCAUAUUCAAAAUGUAUAAAUAACUUAUAUAGAAAGAAUUUACUAAUUUAUGUAUAAUGAAUUUCAUAAAUAAAAGAUGUGGGCCAGGAUAUAUACAUAUGAAGUGAAAGUAUAGUACUAUCAAUAGGAUGAAUACAUAUCAACUUCAAAAAAUGUAAUUUCCUUUGGGAUAGAAAGAAAGAAGGAAGGAGGGGGAAUAGGAAGAGGGCAACAACUUCCUGCCCAGGGGGCAACAACUCUUUUUUUUUUUUUUUUUGAGACAGAGUCUUGCUUUUGUCCCCCAGGCUUGAGUACAAUGACUCGAUCUCGGCUCACUGCAACCUCCGCCUCUCGGGUUCAAAUGAUUCUCCUGCCUCUGCCUCCCAAGUAGCCAGUUAAGGCACCUGCCACCAUGCCCGUCUAAUUUUUGUGUUUUUUAGUAGAGACGGAGUUUCACCAUUUUGGCCAGGCUGGUCUCGAACUCCUGACCUCAGUUGAUCCGCCCACCUCAGCCUCCCAAAGUGCUGGGAUUACAGGCAUGAGCCACUGCGCCCAGCCCACAGCAAUUCUUUAUAAAAAGAUCAGAGGCAACUAUGGGAAGACAUUAACACUUUUUGUUCUUUGUAGAUUGUUAAAAGCUUGUUAUAAUUUAUUUAAAAAUCUCUAACAUCAAUUCCUAGUCUAAAGAAUGAACAAAUGACACAUUUCUUUUCCUUAGUCAAUAAUAAUCUUGUAAGAUGGUGUUCACGUGCUUUUCUUUGAGGGCAAAGAAAACACCAUUCCCCAGUGUUUUUCCUGGGCAGUGUUUGAAUAUUAUAUGAUACUCACAGCAGAGAUUUUCCUAGUUUGGCUUCUGUUGUAAGCUUGUUUUCUGAGUAGAUUUAAAUGAGAAGAACAGAAACAUAUUUGAAACUAUGACUAUGUAUAAGAGCAUUUAUUCUCCUAUAAUGAAAUCGUGGAAAAUGUUUUUAAAAAGUGAGCAAACAAAAACCUCCACACCAUUAUAGAAACACGGUUAAAAAACUAUUGAAUAAUCUCAAGCCUAGUGUGUAAUAAUUAUUAAGUGUGUCUAAUUUGUUGUGCUAAGUGUCAGGAAUUGGUAUUGUGGAAGGAUAUGUGAGAUCUCAUUUUCUCCUUUUAUAUGGCAGGAGUUUAUACAGUAUUUACAUCUGUCAUUGAUACUUUUUAUGAACAGAAGUUUUGUUUACUUAUAACUUCCACAGGGAUUAUUCAUAUGGAGCACUGGAAAGAUGUAACAUUUCAUUUGCUUUGAUACCUUGUGUUUAUUUUAGGUCGAAAAGCAUCAUGAAGCCAAGUGGUUAUUGUUUUGCUUAUUCAGUGUGAACUGAGUGAGCCAGGUUUGUAUACCAAGUGAUUCUCGUGGUGGACAAUACCAAUAUGAUUAUGCCAAAUGCAUUGCUUCUGAGGCAUCACUCUUUGGGCACAUAUAGACCCUGCUGAUUUCUGCCAAAGCACUCUUCUUAAAGUUCCAAAACAUUACCCCAAAACCUCUAUAGCCCCCUAUUGCCAACAAAAUUAAAGCCUUUCUCUUCAUUGGCAUUAGAAGCCCCUGUAACCCAUUGCUUUUCCAUUUCCAGCCUCUUUCCAAAAUUACCAAACAAACUCUGUAUCCUGCAGCCACCAAACUGUACUAGUUGUAAUAUAUUCACUAAGAACA
rnacentral:lncRNA from 1 species